rnacentral:rRNA from 1 species
AUGACGGGGGCGGCAGCUCCGGGCGUGCGUGGCUGGCUCUGGCCGGCCCUGGGUUCUCCGGAUCCGGCUGCUUCGUUGCGGCGAGAGGCCGGCAGACAGUGUGGCAGCGCCGGGCGAAAGCUCUGCCUCGGGCUUCUGGCCGGGGCCGGCGACGGCGACGCCCUCGGGUGCCGCGCUCUUCUUGAGGACGUCGUUGAGGUGUGCUGUCUGCCCUGCUUGUGUCUUCGGUCGGUGAGACCAGUGGUGUGGUGGUGGCUUCUGCUUGGUCAUGGCGCGAUGGCUUCGUGGGAGGUGUGCGGGUCAGCGGAGGUGCAGUGCGUGAGGGUGUGGUGUUGGGCGGUGCUCCGGGCGAAGGCUUGCCGGGUUUCUACCGGCCGACGGCGUCGGCGUCCGCGGAUGUCGUGUCACCUCCUUGGAGGCGCCGCCGUGGAGUCCACCCCCUGCACAUCCUCGGUUCCAGCUCUUCGGGUGAAAGCCUAA